GAGUUGGUAGCUCAGUGGUUGAGUGCAUGCUUUGUAUGUAUGAUGUCCUGUGUUCAAUCCUCAGCUUCUACC
rnacentral:tRNA from 1 species